UAGUCACGUUUGUUUUAAAAUGAGAAGACCUUUCGAGACGGACGGCAGUUGAAGAGCAUUGUUUCGGAGCAGCACAAUUACUGAUGGAGCCAGACUGUGUACUUUUCCUGGUAUCCGUUACUUACAGAACACAGACGAUACUGUCCAUCGGCUCCACAUGUACAAAGCGGUUUUCCAGUUGUGGCAGGUCGACACUGCAUAAAACAGAGCACUUCACCGCAUGGAGCACGACAUCAAGAAACAACGCUGUAGGACACCUGCAAAGUGCGACGUUGCAUUGGGAGCUGCACCUUGUGAAUAUUGCCGUUAUUCGACCAAAUGCUGCACACGAUAGCUGUACAUAUGAGUUUAAACGCUUUGACUUGGCCAAUGUGUUAACACAGAACGUAAACCCUGCAAUAGUUACCUUCUUAUAAAAUGUA